GGGNAAAAGCACUGUUUCGGUGCGGGCGGCGAGAGCUGUACCARAUUUMGKCAWWCUAGARUACGGGUCAUGAYUUGUUUURUSCAGUGGGASUGKGCGGGRGAAGCUGCAUAGUCGAGAGGGAAACAGCCCAGACCACCAGCUAAGGCCCCUAAAUGAUAGCUAAGUGGCAAAGGAGGUGAAGAUGCAGAAACAACCAGGAGGUUUGCUUAGAAGCAGCCAUCCUUUAAAGAGUGCGUAAUAGCUCACUGGUGGAGCGUCUUCGCGCCGAAAAUGUACGGGACUAAGUUAUCUGCCGACGCUGUGGGAUACUGAUAUUUAUCAGUAUCGGUAGGGGAGCGUUCUGGAAUGGGUGAAGCGAGCUCGUAAGGUCUCGUGGACGUUCCAGAAGUGAGAAUGUCAGUUUGAGUAGCGAAAACAUUGGUGAGAAUCCAAUGCCCCGAAAACCUAAGGGUUCCUUCACUAGGCUCGUCCAUGGAGGGUUAGCCAGGUCCUAAGGCGAGGCCGAAAGGCGUAGUCGAUGGCAAACAGGUUAAUAUUCCUGUGCUUGAUUGAUCGCAGUACCGAGGGACGAAGGUGGUUCACAUUAGCCAAGAUCGGUAUUUGGUGUAAACUUGCGAGGCGUUGAUAGCAAGAAGAAAAACUUGUCUUGAGCGAAGCGGUGAUACAAUAUUAGUUUUGGUAGGUUUGUUCGCAGAUUUAUCAGCCUGAUAUUUAAUGUAAAGAAUCUUUCUUCCUAGAAAAGCUCGAACUACAUAUGUGAUCAAUGAACNCUGUACCCGAAACCGACAUCGUAASKUMGGUAGAGAAUACCAARGGGCRCGGGAGAACUCUCUCUAANGAACUCGGCAAAAUAGCCCCGUANNUUCNGGA
rnacentral:rRNA from 1 species